UACGUAGGUGGCAAGCGUUGUCCGGAAUUAUUGGGCGUAAAGCGCGCGCAGGCGGUCCUUUAAGUCUGAUGUGAAAGCCCACGGCUCAACCGUGGAAGUGCCUUUGAUACUGCGAGUCUCGAGCGAGGUAGGGGCGUGCGGAACUUCCGGUGGAGCGGUGAAAUGCGUAGAUAUCGGAAGGAACACCGGUGGCGAAAGCGGCGCGCUGGACCUCUUCUGACGCUGAGGCGCGAAAGCCAGGGGAGCAAACGGGG
rnacentral:rRNA from 1 species